GGGAGCAUAGCUCAGCUGGGAGAGCGUCUGCCUUACAAGCAGGAUGUCACAGGUUCGAGUCCUGUUGUUCCCACCA
rnacentral:tRNA from 1 species